GUCCCAGUAGAUCAGUGGAUUAGAUUGUAGCCCUCCGAAGGCUAAGGCCACCGGUUCAAAUCCGGUCUGGGACU
rnacentral:tRNA from 1 species